UAGGGAAUCUUCGGCAAUAGACGGAAGUCUGACCGAGCAACGCCGCGUGAGUGAAGAAGGUUUUCGGAUCGUAAAGCUCUGUUGUAAGAGAAGAACGAGUGUGAGAGUGGAAAGUUCACACUGUGACGGUAUCUUACCAGAAAGGGACGGCUAACUACGUGCCAGCAGCCGCGGUAAUACGUAGGUCCCGAGCGUUGUCCGGAUUUAUUGGGCGUAAAGCGAGCGCAGGCGGUUAGAUAAGUCUGAAGUUAAAGGCUGUGGCUUAACCAUAGUAGGCUUUGGAAACUGUUUAACUUGAGUGCAAGAGGGGAGAGUGGAAUUCCAUGUGUAGCGGUGAAAUGCGUAGAUAUAUGGAGGAACACCGGUGGCGAAAGCGGCUCUCUGGCUUGUAACUGACGCUGAGGCUCGAAAGCGUGGGGAGCAAACAGGAUUAGAUACCCUGGUAGUCCACGCUGUAAACGAUGAGUGCUAGGUGUUAGACCCUUUCCGGGGUUUAGUGCCGUAGCUAACGCAUUAAGCACUCCGCCUGGGGAGUACGACCGCAAGGUUG
rnacentral:rRNA from 1 species